rnacentral:tRNA from 1 species
GAUUAGGCGGCCGAGGGUUUAAGGCGAUGGACUGCUAAUCCUUUGGGGAUUGUCCCGUGAGUUCGAAUAUCAUCCUGAUGG